UGCCCAACACUUAUUUUUAAGUAGUGGCAAUAAAACUCCCGACCAAGAUAUUAAGCUCCUCAUUGAGCACUCUUGGUCGGGUCAGUAGUAGGAAUACUGCUGGGUGGUCGCAAGACCGCC
rnacentral:sRNA from 12 species